UACGGAGGGGGCUAGCGUUGUUCGGAAUUACUGGGCAUAAAGCGCACGUAGGCGGCUUUGUAAGUUAGAGGUGAAAGCCCGGGGCUCAACUCCGGAAUUGCCUUUAAGACUGCAUCGCUAGAAUUGUGGAGAGGUAAGUGGAAUUCCGAGUGUAGAGGUGAAAUUCGUAGAUAUUCGGAAGAACACCAGUGGCGAAGGCGACUUACUGGACACAUAUUGACGCUGAGGUGCGAAAGCGUGGGGAGCAAACAGG
rnacentral:rRNA from 1 species